rnacentral:rRNA from 1 species
UAGGUUGUUGUUGAUGUAAUGGAUCAACAAGCCUGCAAUCGGUACGGGUUGUGAGAGCAAGAGCCCGGAGAUGGGUUCUGAGAAAAGAACCCAGGUCCUACGGGACGCAUCAGGCGCGAAAACUUUACAAUGUGCGAAAGCACGAUAAGGGAACUCUGAGUGCCUCCUAUGGAGGCUGUUCAGGUGUCUAAAAAGCACUUGAAGUAAGGGCUGGGUAAGACCGGUGCCAGCCGCCGCGGUAACACCGGCAGCCCAAGUGGUAGCCACGAUUAUUGGGUCUAAAGCGUCCGUAGCCGGCCAAGUAAGUUCUUUGGGAAAUUUAACCGCUCAACGGUUAAGCUUUCAGGGAAUACUGCUUGGCUUGGGACCGGGAGAGGUCAGAGGUACUUCAAGGGUAGGGGUGAAAUCCGUUAAUCCUUGAGGGACCACUAGUAGCGAAGGCGUCUGACCAGACCGGGUCCGACGGUGAGGGACGAAGGCUAGGGUCGCGAACCGGAUUAGAUACCCGGGUAGUCCUAGCUGUAAACGAUGCGGGCCAGGUGUUGGCAUUACUGCGAGUGAUGUCAGUGCCGAAGGGAAGCCGUUAAGCCCGCCAUCUGGGGAGUACGGUCGCAAGGCUGAAACUUAAAGGAAUUGGCGGGGGAGCAC